UGGAAGAUAAAAGUUGUGGUAUGCCUUGUGUUAGUGGAAGAGGUAGAUAAGUGCGUAAUUCCAAUGCACCAUUCAUCUUCUCAUCUGUCAUGUCCUCUCCCUAUAUAUAUACUACUCUACUGAGCAUCCUUUGUCCUACCCCCAACUCUCAUCUCACGUUCAUCAAGCAAUGGCUCACAACAAUGUCUAGGCUUUGCUCAAAUACCAUUGCUGGACAGCACCUUUGGAUCCCAAUCCUAGAAAAAAUUGAAUUUCACUUCUCUCACUGAUGCGCUCUUUCUUCUCUCACUGAUGUUGGGUUUUGGAGAAGAGAGUGAGGCAGAGAGAACAAAUAUGAAUGCGAGAGAGGGUGCGGACGGCGGUGGCGGUGGUGGUGACGGUGAGAUGAGAUGGUGAUAGAUGACGUUAAUAGUGUUUGAGGUGAGGAUGGUAAUGAUGGUGGUGAGGUUGGAUAGGAGUUAAUCGGAGAAGAAGGUGGGUGGGGGAGGGAGACGCGAGAGAAAGAUAAAAGGGAUCUGGUAAGAAGAUAAAAUAUGGAAGAGAGACUUUUAAUUUUUACAAAACAGAAAAUAUAUAUAAACCAAGAAUUUACCAUUCUGCAGAAUGUUCCAAAUUCUGAAUUUUGUGCCUCUUAUGCAAUGAGCUUAUAGCUAUGGAGACAAUUAUAUUCCUGUGAAGAUUAUUAUUCCUCAACUUCACUGAUUCACAAUCAUGCUUGCAAAAGGAAAACCAACAACACACAUGGUGACCUCUCCUACAAGAAUUUCAAAUUAUGCUUUAGUCUUUUUAAUUGACAUGCUGUUUCUUGGAGUUCAUCAAAAGCGCUUUAGAUGAGAUGUUGGUUUCAAGCAUUAGUUUAUAUUUUGGAUUCAAUAUUUGUUCUACUUUAAAAUCUUUGUUUUGUUGUUGCAAUUUUAAUACAAUCCAACUUUUAAAUGAAUUGUGAGUUUUUUCUCUA